rnacentral:rRNA from 1 species
UACGGGGGGAGCAAGCGUUGUUCGGAUUUACUGGGCGUAAAGGGCGCGUAGGCGGCCACUGCAAGUCGGUUGUGAAAUCUCCGGGCUUAACCCGGAAAGGUCAACCGAUACUGCAGGGCUAGAGUGCAGAAGGGGCAACUGGAAUUCUCGGUGUAGCGGUGAAAUGCGUAGAUAUCUGGAGGAACACCGGUGGCGAAGGCGGCAUCCUGGACCGAGAUUGACGCUGAGGCGCGAAAGCCAGGGGAGCAAACGGG